UUUCACAUAUAGGUACCUCAGGUGCUUUUAUUCGCUUGAGUAAAUUGGUGUCAAUGAACGGGGCUUCGGUGCUUCUAUUCGUCUGAUAAACAGUUUAUAUUUGCUUAUGCUGACUUAGAGGACAAAGCAGUCACAAGUAACUUAAUUGAUAAUCAGUCAGUUAGCGGGUUGGACCAAGUGGAACAUAUGUCUCAGCAGAAACCAAACUCUGUUGAUCAAACUCUGUUGAAUCUGAUAGCCAGAAAGAUGACGUAGAUAGUGCUCCAAAUUCUGGUCAGUUUUCUCCUCGGAAGUCGUACCGGGCUGCUGUUUUAAA